rnacentral:ncRNA from 1 species
UAUUUAUAGGAAAGGAGUGGUUAGCAUUCCCCUGACAGGAAUGGAAGACAUUCUAAAAUUAAACAAUGCAUACCUUGUUAAGGCACUGGCCACUAGUGCGAUGUAACCAUGGUUUUAC